AUUUUGCCUGAGGAACUGCUUUUGGGAAAAGGGUUGGCUUGCUUUUAAGUUUGGGAUAGCACCCUGUUUGAAGGCCAAGGAAGAGACCUGGAGCCAGCAAACAAAACAUAUGGUCUAUUGAAAGGACUUACAGAGAAUUACAAGUGGAAUAAAAGGCAGGCUGUUUUCAGUCCCUGAUGAGUAAAUGUAGCAUUGAGAGAUGUGGUUGGCUGAGGAUAGAAUAUCUGGUACAUCAGUGUGAGCUGGUUGACAUGAGAAGGACUUGCUGUUUGAAUGAAAAACCUCAAAGCUGAAGCUGAGUUUAUCAACUGCCCAGAAAGAAGGAGGAGGAUACUUACAGAAAUCUAAUGAUUUUGAGACAUGCACUACCUCAAAAAUUUUAUUUUACGCACUAUUUGGUUGAUGUGUUGUGUGAAGAUCUUUCAUAGCAUCUAAUCAGGUAUAAUUCCUGAAUGACACUGAGUUUUAUAAUUUUUCUCCCACCCUAUUCUCACUAUAUAUGAAAUCCUUGAUUCUCCAUACUCCACUUGUUUUUAAUAUCAAUACACAUUUUUCUCCUAAUGUAUCACUCUAAUUGGCAAUAGCCACAUGACCUAGACUAGAAUAUUACUUAAAAUAUUUUGACUGUUAUAAUUAAAAGGUAAUUAUUUUUAUAAUUUGUGACUGCAAGUCAAUUUCACAGAGCAUGUACCAUGCCUUGAGAUUGGGGAAUAAUACAUUUUUGAAAAUUUAAGAAAAACAUCUAAUUUUGUUAUUAAAUAAAGAAUUACAUUCAAC
rnacentral:lncRNA from 1 species